CUUGGUCAUAUAGAGGAAGUAAAAGUCGUAAACAAGGUUUCCGUAGGUGAACCUGCGGAAGGAUCAUUA
rnacentral:rRNA from 1 species